rnacentral:rRNA from 1 species
AGAACGAACGCUGGCGGCAUGCCUAAUACAUGCAAGUCGAACGAACACUUCGGUGUUAGUGGCGCACGGGUGCGUAACGCGUGGGAAUCUGCCCUUGGGCUCGGAAUAACAGUUGGAAACGACUGCUAAUACCGGAUGAUAUCGAAAGAUCAAAGAUUUAUCGCCCAGGGAUGAGCCCGCGUAGGAUUAGCUAGUUGGUGAGGUAAAGGCUCACCAAGGCGACGAUCCUUAGCUGGUCUGAGAGGAUGAUCAGCCACACUGGGACUGAGACACGGCCCAGACUCCUACGGGAGGCAGCAGUGGGGAAUAUUGGACAAUGGGCGAAAGCCUGAUCCAGCCAUGCCGCGUGUGUGAAGAAGGUCUUCGGAUUGUAAAGCAACUUUAAGUUGGAGGAAGGGUUGUAACCUAAUACGUUGCAACUUUGACGUUACCGACAGAAUAAGCACCGGCUAACUUCGUGCCAGCAGCCGC